GUUUCCCAAGUAUAGUGGUCAUCACGUUCGCCUGACACACGAAAAGUUCCCUGGUUCGAAACCGGGUGGAAACA